AAAGUCUGACCUGCCCAAUGAAUAUAUAUAUUUAAAUGGCUGCGGUAUUUUGACCGUACAAAGGUAGCAUAAUAAUUAGUUUUUUAAUUGAGAACUGGAAUGAAGGGUCGAACGAGAAAAAUACUGUCUCAAUUUAAUUUUUAUUUGAAUUUUAUAUUUAAGUAAAAAAGCUUAAAUGAUCUUAAAAGACGAGAAGACCCUAUAGAGUUUUAUAUUAUUUAGUAUUUAGUGGAUUAAAGUAUUUUAUUUUAUAAUAUUAGUUAAUAUUUGAUUGGGGUGAUUAAAAAAUUGAUUAAACUUUUUUUAUAUUUAAACAUUGAUUUAUGAUUAAUUGAUCCA
rnacentral:rRNA from 1 species